CUAACCAAUGUGUCUUUGCCUCUGCAGAGAACUCGGGGCACUGUGAGCUUAUAACUUUGGACACCCAGAAGGCUCUGCAUGAGCUAUGCAAAAAGACAGUACUCAUAGGGUCAGUGGAAAGCAUGGCGGUGAAAGAAAAUGGGUCCCGUGAAGUUGUGGUAAAGAACGUCCUGCAGAUCCAUGUGGAGAAGAACUUGAUCACCCUGAGGGGUACCCACGUGCUCCUCUUGAAUCACUGCAGCUGUCCGCCACUGGCCAAGGAUGGGCUCUACCUGUUCAACCUGCAGGAGACCAACAGAACGACCAUCUCUGACCUGAGCACGACCGUCUCCCCGGUGUAUGACCUGCUGUCUACGUGCCAGUGGGCUCAUCUUGGGAAUGCAUCCACAUGCAGCUAAAGUCUGAAAGUUCGACUUUUGUUUAAAGCCAUUUUUGUGACUGUAUGAACUCCCCAGUAAAAGAUGCCGUUUGUUUUCCGAUCCCCUUUUUUGUACUUGGAGGACAGGGGAUGCAUAAAGAAGACUGAGGGUGUUUUGCAGUCCAAGCUACUUCAUAUGCUAUAUAAGUGCUUUGAUAGACUUAUAGACUUAACCAUUUGGUUGUAUCAUAUAUGCUAUAUAACUACUGUAUCCUCAGGGCAUUCAGCAAUCCAUGUUAAACGUCAUAUUUAGAUAACAAUGCAGCGGAUUUGUGUUUUUCUUUAUGAAAUCCACAGGUGCUGCAGCCCUGGAGCUCUUUGUAUUUCUUUGUCAACGUGCCCUGGAAAAUUGGCAUGGAGCCAGGCACAGAGGCAAAAACAACACUGAUGAAAUCUGAUGAAAUGUCUAGUACAGUGUCUAGUAUUCCGUCUGGGUUCAUUUUUGCUGACAACAUGUUUUCACUCAGUUCAACUGUUUCCAUCCACCAUCAAGAUUAUUCUCUGCACCUGGGUUCAGUGAUGGGUCGUCUCCUCGUGAGUAGAUUAAGGGCUCUUAAUGCCAAGACCUUGGUUUGAUUCCAACCCAAAGUGUGGAGACGGGCACAUGGUGCUAUUAAGCUGUGUUACUCAAUGUUAUUCCCAUCUCAGUUUCUGAUUGCCCCCUCGCCCCCCUGUGCUUUGUGACAACAAAAUAUGGAAAUUCUCUCUCGUUCCCAUGUUUUUAAUUUAACCGAUGUUCAAUGUUGUGAAACAAAUUUUUCUCAGCAGAUAUGAUGCUAAAUCACAGUAUUUAUAUUUUUUUUACUGAUUUUGAAUCGAGUAUAGUGUUGUAAAUCCAAAGGUAGAAUAUAAAUUUUUUUUUUUUUUAAUUUUGUUCAUUUUGUACUGUAUUCACAGUCCUGCACUACCACCAAAUGUGAUUCAGGCAUCACCACUGUUUACUGGACGAAGACACAGCGAGUGUAACUUCUGUGGCAAUAUUUUUGAUCCCUGUUGAUCCGAUUACAUACAAUGAUAUGUGCUUUUAGCUUCCCAUUGUUACAGUAUUGUCUUCGCCAGAAGUGUGUGUGCUUAUAACAUUGUGUAACAUUGUAUAAUGAAUGAGACUAGGCAAGGGAGUUAACUGCAGAGAACAUCCUUCAUAUAAGGGGUUGGACUUGCGAAAUGUACAACUGAAAAUCUAAUAAUCAGAAAACGAAAUAAAUGUGUUUAUUGCUUAUUCAAUAAAGCUCAUUUUGAAAGACA